UACGUAGGGGGCAAGCGUUGUCCGGAUUUAUUGGGCGUAAAGAGCGUGUAGGCGGCCAUGUAGGUCCGUUGUGAAAACUCGAGGCUCAACCUCGAGACGCCGAUGGAAACCAUGUGGCUAGAGUCCGGAAGAGGAGAGUGGAAUUCCUGGUGUAGCGGUGAAAUGCGCAGAUAAUCAGGAAGAACACCCGUGGCUAAGGCGGCUCUCUAGUACGGUACUGACGCUGAGACGCGAAAGCGUGGGGAGCGAACAGG
rnacentral:rRNA from 1 species